ACAACAAAACAAAGGCAACAUGAAAGCAAAACCCUUUUCCCUGCAAAAGUGUAGAGAGAAAAAACACACUCAUCAUACCAAACUUUCCCAUUCUUUUCUUUUUCUUAUCAUCUUUCCUCUUUUCCCGGACAUAUCCGAAGCUCAACAGCAGCCGCAGAGGCAUAUUAUGACCAUUAUGAUGAAGUUCUAUACGUUCACUUUCUUAAUCUUCUUGUUCUCUAAGCUCCAAGGUCACUGCAAAUCAGAUAUCAACCUUGGUCAUUCUCUAACGCUCACUUCUCCUCUAGAAUACGCUCCCGGGUUUAUGGGGAAAGCUUAUAUAAUGGAUACAGAAUCUUCAUCAUCAACAAGAGAACCUGGUUUCAAAGCCGCGUUAACGAUGGAAUCAAGCGACAAAGAUGAUGGAAAAUAUAUGUGUUCUCUCCAAGUUUUCCUUGGAGAUGUAAGAGUUUGGAGCUCAGGGCAUUACUCAAAGAUGUAUGUUUCUAGCAAAUGCAUCAUCGAGCUCACAAAAGAAGGAGACUUGAGACUAAAGAGUAGCAAUAAACACGUUGGAUGGAGAAGUGGAACCUCGGGACAAGGCGUUGAGAGGUUGGAGAUACAAAGCACAGGGAACCUAGUGUUGAUUGAUGCUAAGAAUCUGAUCAAAUGGCAAAGUUUCAAUUUCCCAACAGAUGCGAUGUUGAGUGGUCAGAGAUUAGACGUAGCUACGCAACUAACUUCAUUCCCAAACGACUCGACUUUGUUCUAUUCCUUUGAAGUCUUACGUGACAAGAUUGCCCUGUUCCUCAAUUUGAACAAGCUCAAGUACUCUUAUUGGGAGUAUAAGCCUAGAGAUAAGAACAAAGCAGUCAACUUCGUGAGAUUAGGGCCAAAGGGUCUUGACCUAUUCGACGAUAACAGCCACAUAAUCGGGAGAAUAGAGCAACCGUUGAUCAGAUUCUUGGCGCUUGGGAACAGAACCGGUAACUUGGGACUCUAUUCGUAUAAACCGGAAAAGGGAAAGUUCGAAGCAACCUUUAAAGCUGUGAGCGACACUUGUGAUCUUCCUGUAGCGUGUAAGCCAUACGGAAUCUGUACAUUCUCAAAGUCUUGUUCUUGCAUUAAGGCCGUGAGCAAUGGAGAUUGCAGCAGCAACGUGGAAGAAGCGGUUUCGGUGAAGAGGUUAUGUGAUCACGAGAUGAUUGAGCUAGAAGGAGUGACUACAGUGCUGAGAAACGGGACACAAGUGAGAAAUGUAAGGAAAGAGAGAUGUGAAGAGUUGUGUAAGAAAGAUUGUGAGUGUGCAGCUGCGAGUUACUCUGUUUCUGAUGAGAGCUGUGUCAUGUAUAGGAUUGUGAUGGGUGUUAAGCAGAUUGAGAGAGUGAGUGGUUUGAGUUAUAUGGUUAAGGUUCCAAAAGGAGUGAGACUGAGUGGUGAGAAACCAAAUGUUAAGAAAUGGGUUGUGGGAUUAGUUGGAGGUAUUGAUGGUUUUGUUAUUUUGUUGCUUCUUUCUGGAUUGGUUUUUUAUUUCAUCCGGAAGCGUCAGAAAAGCUCAUCGCCGCGGCCACCCCCGCAACAGCCGCCCAAUACAGAUUCUUGAUAGUUUGCUUCGAGGAUUUCAGAUUAUUUUGUAUACUUUGUGUCGCACAUGUGAGAGCAUAUGCCUCAAAUCUAGGAUUUCUGAAGGUUCAUAUUCAAAAAUAUGGGAAGCAUUAUGCAUUAGGGAUGAGCAAAUUUUCAGGAUAUACUUAUAAUCCAAUCAAUGGGAGUUAGUCACAAGACAGAGCCAAGAGGCAUGAACCCCUUCUUUUAACGUCCAACGGUUAGUUGAAAAUACAGUGUCAUUUUAAAACUGAGACUUUCAUGAUGUGGCCCUGACUUUAUUUACCGUAGUAAAGUGAUCCCCACCACAAAACUCCAUCAUUGACGCAGCCAACUCCGCCACAACUCCCUUCUAACAGCCAACGGUCCAAAUAUUAUUCUUUUACUUUUUUUUUUUUGUUGUUCUUUCUUUCUCUUUCUCCAGUAAUAAAAAGCUAAUCACAUUUUAUAUCAACACUAAGUAGCAUAUCAACGGUAAGUGAGAAGACAAUUUAGAAAAAAAGAUCACAUUUUAUA